CAGUGCCAGCCCCCAAGUCCCACUGCCUACCACCCAGUGGUCCAUUCAAAUUAUAAUAGAUUAAUGCAUGGAGGAGUUUACAGCUCUCAUUUCACCUCUGAACAUUGCUACCUUGCCAAACACAUGAGCUCUUUAGGGGAUAUUUUUAGAUCCAAACUACAACAACUCAGAAUAAUUCUCAUACAAGCCCAUCCGAAUGUGAAAACUGACAUGUCAUUUCAACAUUGUCUAGAAGAAUGAAAAAAUGGAACUAUCCAUCAGGAGAAAAGAAAACAUUUGGUUGCACAGUAAUACAAUGAACAACAAUGAAUGAAUGAAGAACUAUACCAUGGAUUAAUGUGGAAACAAAAGGUUUCCCAGAAAAUCAUGUGUGAAGAAAUGGAGACACCGGAUAAAGAAAAGACAGUUCACAAUGUCAAAAUAAGAGGCUGACUAUUACUGGAGUCUGUAGUCAUGGGAUAAAAUGGAAUAACAAUAGGUGAAGUAUGAAACUACACUGGAAAUAGAACAACCUCUCACUGGAAAGAAAGUGGGGACAUACCAGAGAUUCUUUCCCAAAGUAAGUAUUGUCACAUCCACCUCCAAAGUGGGAAUAAAUCACAGUUACUUUCUGAUGUUGGGCCAGUGGCUCCUCUACCCCAGGUGUGUUUCUGCCAUUCAUGGACAAUUGUUAGCAAAUCACUUUCCUUUAAUAUCACCUCUAUAUAAAAAAAAGGUGCCUCUUUGUGACUGUCAAUGUGGAUGUUGCAAUUCUCAUAAAACAUCAGAAAAGGAAGUGAUUGACAGUGGUUCGGUGUGCUGGAGGUUGAAGAGUGGCAAGGAGGAGAGAUCCAAGAUGGUGGCGUAAAAGAGGUUGCAUUCCUGGUUGCUCCACAGCUCAAAACCAAGAAAGCAAACAGGCAGCUUCUAGCAAGGUGAAGAAAUUGUGGUUUGGAGAGACAAAGUGAUAUGUCCCAAUUCAUCCACUUGGUUGGAGAUGGCGAUGAAAUGUGAACCCAGAUCCAUGACAUGGAUCAAUUCCCUCCACAUGGCAUUGUUUCCAACAUGCUUCGUGGUGUGACAGGUGGCUCCUGCAAAGGUCCCUGGAAGGCUCAUGAAUCAUGAGAAGUUAUCAUUGUAGUUUUUGGUGGACACAACAUCUUUGUUUGUAUGUGGUGCUGAGGAUCGAACCCGGGCCACACUCAUGCCAGGCGAGCACGCUAUAGUUUUGAAGAUCACAUAUUCCUACUUAUUCCACUUCAGGUGAGAGGACACCAUCCAAAAGAAGCAGGUCUUCCUCUGUGUUGCAUCAGACCAUAUUAGUGACAUUAGAAGACACCAGAUUCAAGUUGGUUGAUAGGAUACAAGUAAGUGUUUGACACCUGAAACACAGCAUCUGAAUUUUGUUCUAAUUUCAUUUAUACAGAAUAAAAUGACUAUGGGAAUCUGAACUCUUCAAUGUGCAGCCAAGUCAGCAAUCUGUAAUUUCUCUGCCCUAAAUCAUAAAUAGACUAAUGAAACAUGAUAGGUCAAAUUAUAAGACAGUAUAAAUUUCGGGUUUAAAACAUUAUUUUGAAAGGAUUCCAUCUGCAUCAAUGUGUUAAGAUGCAAUAAUUAACUUUAUAGGUUUGUUUGAAAGCUAUUAUUUAUGAAACACCAUAAGGAAUGAUUCUGUGUUCCUCAUGGCACUAAUUUUGCAAAUCCCUGGAAAAUCUCCUUUAAUUAUUAAAAUUUCACAAGCUUUUCCCCUGGAUCAGGACUAGAUCAUUUUCUACUGUUUCAUAUUUUUGGAGUUAAAUUCACAUUAGGGCUCUCUUCACUACCUAGCAUCCAUAUUUUUUGGACUAGGGCUGCUUUUUAUACUGUUUUUAACAUCACUAAAAGAUAUUCUAUCAAUUCUUCUCAGAAUAAAUGACAUUCACUUAUUUCUGUAUCAAAUACUGACUGGUUGAAUGUGAUGCCAUUGAAAAUGUAAUCUAUGUUCAACUCCAAGAUGAUAGUAAAAGGCACUGGAAGAGGAAAAAAUUAAAAAAAUAUUCAAUCCUUGGUAUGAUAGAUUCUUAAAAUGAUACAAACUUGAGCUUAAUGAGACGUAUCCUUAGCAAAAAUUUGAUGGGGGUGGUGAAGAAACUGCAGUACUAUUUACUAAAUUCUUUGCUUACUUAAAUAUAAUAUUUUAAAUCCAUAUAGAAAUAAUCAAUGUGCCUUCUUUUUAUUUUUUUUUAUUUUUUUUUUAAUUUUUUAUUGUUGGUUAUUCAAAACAUUACAAAUUUCUUGACAUAUCAUAUUCCACACUUUGAUUCAAGUGGGUUAUGAACUCCCACCUUCACCCCAUACACAGAUUGCAGAAUCACAUCAGUUACACAUCCAUUGAUUUACAUA